CGGCCCGACAGCCCGCUUCGCGACCCGACUCGCAACGAACCCUACCCGGAUCCGGCCCGGCUUUCGACCCGACUCGCAGCCGCCCCCCUGGAUCGCAAACCCUACCCGAUUUUCCGGGUCCGGAUCCACUUCGCGACCCGGAAAAUCGCAAACCCUAGGGUUUGCGAUCUUGCGACGCCAGAGAGGAGACCGAAGCGGUCCCGCGGCGAGGACGGCCACGGUGGUGACGGCAAAGGUGAUCGGCGACGGCGACGGAACGGGAUCGCGAUGGACGGCAGGGACAAUGGCAACGGCCUUUUUUACCUUCUCUUGAACGAAGGCGGUGACGGCCACGGCAGGGGCUGAUCUACGACGGCAGCGACCACGGCGAGCAACGACGAAGCUGGGGGUUUGAUCUGUGACGGUGGAGGUCGCGGCGAGGGACGACGGUGACGGC
rnacentral:lncRNA from 1 species